rnacentral:rRNA from 1 species
AGAGUUUGAUCCUGGCUCAGGAUGAACGCUGGCGGCGUGCCUAAUACAUGCAAGUCGAGCAGAAAUCUUUCAGACGAUUCUUCGGAUGAGUCAGGAAGAUGGAAAGCGGCGGACGGGUGAUAACGCGUAGGCAACCUGCCCUCAGCAGAGGGAUAGCCAUUGGAAACGAUGAUUAAAACCCAUAAUGCUGAACCAACACAUGUUGGAUCAGCCAAAGAUUUAUCGGCUGGGGAUGGGCCUCGUCUGAUUAACUGGUUGGUGAGGUAACGGCUCACCAAGGUAACGAUCAGUAGCCGACCUAGAGGGUGAUCGGCCACAUUGGAACUGAGACACGGUCCAAACUUCUACGGAAGGCAGCAGAAGGAAUCUUGCACAAUGGGGGAAACCCUGAUGCAGCAACGCCGCGUGAACGAUGAAGGCUUAGGGUUGUAAAGUUCUGAUCUGUGGGAAGAAGAAAGUGACGGUACCACAGGAGAAAGCCCGGCUAAAUACGUGCCAGCAGCCGCGGUAAUACGUAUGGGGCAAGCGUUAUCCGGAAUUUUGGGCGUAAAGAGUGCGUAGGUGGUUACCUAAGCGCAAGGUUUAAUCUUGAGGCUCAACUCAUUCUGCCUUGCGAACUGGGCUACUUGAGUGCUGGAGGGGAAAGCGGAAUUCCCAGUGAGCGGUGAAAUGCGUAGAUAUUGGGAAGAACACCGGUGGCGAAGGCGGCUUUCUGGACAGAACUGACACUGAGGCACGAAAGCGUGGGGAGCAAACAGGAUUAGAUACCCUGGUAGUCCAGCCGUAAACGAUGAGCACUAGUUGUUGGGUCC